rnacentral:SRP_RNA from 1 species
GCUGGGUGCAGUGGCACGUGCCUGUAGUCCCAGCUGCUUGGGAGGCUGAGGCAGGAGGGUUGCUUGAACCCAGGAGUUGCAGGCUAUAGUACGCUAUGAUGGUGUCCACAUUAAGUUCAUCGUCAAUAUGGUGACCUCCUGGGAGCGGGAACCACCAGAUUGCCUAAAGGAGGUUGAACCAGCCCCAGGGUCCAGAAACAACAAGGUCAAAACUCCUCUGCUGAUCAAUAGUGGGAUCACACCUGUGAAUGGUGAAUAGCCGCCACUGCACUCCAGCCUGGGCUGAGACCCUGUCUCUU